AUACCACUGUUCUGCUUUUGUCUCAGAUCAGGGCAAGGUCAAGAACACAACAGCGAAGAGAUCUUUGGAGUAUGCAUCAUCCAUAGCCAUCUGAGUGUGGGUUCCAGUGGCUCAACUGCACUUGUAUUGCCAGCUGUAGGAAUCUUUGGAAUUCAUCAAAAGUUUGGAUGAAACUUGUGGCAGAAUCGCUGCAGGACUGCUCUGCUUUAAGAGCAUUGUAUGCUCCAGAAGAGCUGUAAGCUGUAAACCAUGCUUCCUCUGUGUACACUUCUUCCUUCAACCUGCAUGAGGCAGCAGUGUGCUUGGGCAUUUCCCCUUCGUUGUGGUGCCUGCCUCCUUCCAGGUGCCAGAAGAACAAGGCUGCGUGCCCUGCAAAGGAUGACUGCCUGCUGAUAAGAGAAAAGGAACUAUAUCCACAUUACUGAAGACUGAAGUCAGCCAAGGAUCAUCAGUGUGUCAAAAACUCCACCCCUGUGCCAUGAAAGCUGGCUAUGGGUAAGUGAUAUGACAGCACUUUGCAUUUUUAUAGUUAAAUCUGAUAGCUGUUCUGUACCUGUAGUAGGGGCAAUAUCUGUAACUGUUGCACUCACUGGGAUUAAUUUGAGACAAAAAUAAAUACUCCUCAGAAACAUGGUUAUAGAGUUGUUUCAGGUAGCCAAGUAAAAACCACCUCAUUAGUUUUGCUGAUAAGCUGAAUUGUGGACUUCAGCAUUGAUGACUCUCUGCUGCCAGAAUUAUGAGAACUAUCAAGGACUAUGAAUCAGAGGCUCUCAGCACAGAUUCUCAGCUGCAGCAGAUCCUUGUGGUCUCGUUCCCUAUAAGACACUUAAGUUUAAGGAGAAGAGGUUUGCAACCUUUCAUAUAUUUUAGUAGUUGGAAAUUGCCAGAACUCAGUACUAGAUCUUCUGUAACUAAUUGCAAUUGGAAGUUAUGUAAAAAUUACAGCAAGCGUAGACAAGAUUUAAUUUUGAGUUUUUAUUAUAAAAGUAAAAUAAAAAUAAGCUUUUAAAAAGCACACAUUUAUUUUUUUUUAAAAAGGAACUGAUAUAAAAAACUAUUUACAAGUAGGAAAUGCAAAACUUGAUUUUUUUUUUUUAGAGGCACCAAAGCUAUGUUUAAAUACAUUAUUUGAAAUAUACAAGAUUUUUUUUUUUUUUUUUUUUUUUUU